CCGAGUUUACAACUCCCAAACCCCUGUGAACAUACCUAUAUGUGCCUCGGCGGAUCAGCCCGCGCCCCGUAAAACGGGACGGCCCGCCGCAGGAUCCACAAACUCUGUUUUUAUUGUAACUUCUGAGUAACAAAACAAAUAAAUCA
rnacentral:misc_RNA from 1 species